UAGAUGUUUAGAUCUGCUCUAUUCUCGAACAUCUUUGUGUAUAGCGAGUAAGCAAGGGGAUCUAACAUCUAAUUUUAAUUAAAUUUGGUUAUAGGGUAUCAUUUCCAAUUGGAAAUAUUGUAAUUUUAUGUAUGCAUUGAAUCAGUGUUGAAAGAAAACUCCUAGUGUUAUUUCUUAUGUAUAUGUAUUAGACUUGGUGGUAUGUUUCAUAAUUAGGGGAAUGCAUGCAGGAUUCUUGUGUAGUACGUGCAAUUUUAGCAAACUGAGUGUCAUAGAAUGGUGGAAAGUAAAUUUUAGACACAUAUUCAUUAAUUUUGUUUUACCAACCAAUCAUAUGUGUCAAUUCAAUGAAAGAUGAAAUAUUGUU
rnacentral:sRNA from 1 species